UACGGAGGGGCAAGCGUUGUUCGGAGUCACUGGGCGUAAAGCGCACGUAGGUGGAUUAGCAAGUCAGGAGUUAAAGGCAACGGCUCAACCGUUGUAAGGCUUUUGAAACUGCUAGUCUAGAGUAUCAGAGAGGAAUGCGGAAUUUCCGGUGUAGCGGUGAAAUGCGUAGAUAUCGGAAGGAACACCAGUUGCGAAGGCGGCAUUCUGGCUGAUAACUGACACUGAGGUGCGAGAGCGUGGGUAGCAAACAGG
rnacentral:rRNA from 1 species